rnacentral:rRNA from 1 species
CUACGGGAGGCAGCAGUGGGGAAUAUUGGACAAUGGGGGAAACCCUGAUCCAGCAAUGCCGCGUGUGUGAAGAAGGCCUGCGGGUUGUAAAGCACUUUCGGUUGGGAGGACUGCUUCUAGCACUAAUAUUGUUGGAAGUUGACGUUACCUUCAGAAGAAGCACCGGCUAACUCCGUGCCAGCAGCCGCGGUAAUACGGAGGGUGGCAAGCGUUAAUCGGAAUUACUGGGCGUAAAGCGCGCGUAGGCGGCUAGAUCAGUCGGGUGUGAAAGCCCCGGGCUUAACCUGGGAACGGCAUCCGAUACUGUCUAGCUUGAGUACAGGAGAGGAGAGUGGAAUUCCACAUGUAGCGGUGAAAUGCGUAGAUAUGUGGAGGAACACCAAUGGCGAAGGCAGCUCUCUGGCCUGAUACUGACGCUGAGAUGCGAAAGCGUGGGGAGCAAACAGGAUUAGAUACCCUCGUAGUC